rnacentral:rRNA from 1 species
GACUCUUCGUCAUAUGGGACUGUAGUAUGUUCCAAGGGUUGGACUGUUCAUCCAUUCAAGCGGUAUGUGAGAUG